rnacentral:rRNA from 1 species
CUUACCGGGUCCGGACACACUGAGGAUUGACAGGCAAUCAAUGUGAGAUUUAUAUCUCAUAUUAUAAAUAUGCUAGUCCUUUCAUGAUUAUGUGAUAGGUGGUGCAUGGCCGUUCUUAGUUCGUGGAGUGAUCUGUCUGCUUAAUUGCGUUUCGCAUGGGACUUAUAAAUAAGUGUGCUACUUUUCUUGUUUCGCUUUUAUAUCUUAACUUAUUUAUAAGUUAUUUAUGAUUGCGUUUACAAUUAUGAAAUGUCUGCGCACAUUAGGUCCUGAAAGCAACGAACGUGACCGCAUCCUCUUGUUGCCUUUUACUUAAACGAACAGUCUUAUUUUUAAUAAAUUCGGCUGUGAGUUUUAACAAAAGAGUGCUUUAUAAAACUAGAGGGACCGCUGCGACUUUUUUAAACCAGAGGAAGGUUGCGGCAAUAACAGGUCUGUGAUGCCCUUAGAUGUUCCGGGCUGCACACGUGCUACAAUGAUUAUUGCAGUGAGCAUCUCACUUAUUAUAAAACGCUGUUUUAUUGACCAUUAUGAUUUAUUGUUUUGGUUGAGCAGCCAAGCCUGCUUCGAAAGUUCGCAGGUAAUCAAUUGGAAGUAAUGAUUUCCCUUUUUUUAAAAUUCAGAUUUUAAUUUGUCUUUUUGUGAAGCACACUAUAUGUUGCUCCCUUCCCUGGCCGUUUGCUUUUUUGUCUUUCGGUCUUUAGUGGUUGGGUGUUUUUUCAACAUGUGCUUUUUGUCAAUUCAUGGUGGGGACAGACCAUUGUUAAUUGUUGGUCUCGGUCUUAACUAGGAAUGCCUUGUACGGGUCUUUGGUUCAACAAACCACCCGGAAUACGUCCCUGCCCUUUGUACACACCGCCCGUCGCUCUUACCGAUGGACUUCUCUGUGAGUUUGAGGGACUGGGUACCUUAGCUUUUACGUUAAACUAAAAGCUACAAUCACUUAUGGAAACUUAAACGAACAGUGUGGUCUAAAGGAAAGAGAAGUCGUAACAAGGCAUCGGUAGGUGAACC